ACAACGCUCGCCUGUCCUUCGCCAACUACAAGACCAAGAUGAUUGCCCUCCAACGUCCUGAUGGAUCUAUCGCAUCCUCCAGAAAGACAAUGGAGAGGAUUAUUCACAACUUCUACUCGGAUCUCCUUGACAGCCAUGUCCACCUGCCCACAUACCAAAUUCCGCAGGGUGCAUAUGUCAUUCCCAACAUCUCCCUUCUGAAAUCCGACACGCCAUUUCAUUAGUAAAGAACAGCACCUGGUCCGGACAAGGUCAGACCCGAACACCUGAAGAAUCUGCCGCCACUUCACAUGCUACCUGUCCGAAUGCAAGGUUCUGUCCCAGUGGAAAACCAGUAGGACCGUUCUGUUGUACAAGAAGGGAGACAUCCAUGGCAUUGGCAACUAUCACCCAAUCUGCUUGCUGUCUGUCAUCUACAAGUUGUUCACUUGUGUCAUCCUGAAUAGAAUAGAAUAGGCAGAACACUAGACAAAGGACAACAAUGCGAGCAAGCCAGGUUCUGAAGGGGAUUCAGCACCAUAGACCAUAUCUACAUAGUGACCAAACUCAUUGAAGUUUCGAGAGAGUUCAAGAUGCUGCUCUGUCUAAUGUUCAUCGACUUAAAGAAGGCCUUCGAUUCUGUUGAGACUGAGACAGUCAUUGAAGCCCUGGCCAAACAGGGCGUUCAAACUCAGUAUAUCAAAAUCUUCCACGAGCUGUAUUGUGGAUUCACCACUAGGAUCUCACCAUUCUACAAGGAUCAUUGAUGUAAAGAGAGGGGUACAGCAGGGUGAUACCAUUUCACUGAAACUUUUCAGUGCCACCCUCGAGAACAUCAUGGGACAACUGGAAUGGGAAGGAAUGGGAGUGAAGAUAGACGGUUGGCAAUUACACCACCUCCGCUUCGCUGAUGACAUCAUUCUCAUAACACCAAACAUUAGCCAAGCGGCACAAAUGCUGGCAGACUUCGACCGCGAGUGUGGAAAGUUCGGAUUGCAGCUGAAUCUCAACAAGACGAUGUUCAUGAAAAACGAACUGGUCCCUGAAGCUCCAUUUGCUCUCAAUGGAAUGAACACCUCCGAAUGCAGCAGCUAUGUGUACCUGGGUUGAGAAAUCAACAUGAAGAACGACUUUGUUCCAGAACUGCGCAGGAGGAAGAGAGCAGCAUGGAAUGCAUUCAAGAGCGUCGAAUAAGUGGUUAAGAGAACGAAGAACCUCUGACUCCAGGCAUGCCUUUUCGAUUCCACCAUUCUUCCUGCACUAACAUAUGCCCCAGAGACCUGGGCCCUACGCAAACAGGAUGAGAAUGCUAUUAGGGUAUCCCAAAGAGGAAUCAAAAGAGAUAUGCUGGGAAUAUCAUGUCUCACUCAAGUGAGAGAAGGAAUCCUGAGUUCUGACCUCCGUCAACAGUCAAAACUCAGGGAUGCUGUCUAGUUUUCCAAGGUAUCAAAAAUCAGAUGGGCCGGUCAUGUAAUGCGAUUCAGAGACAACCACUGGACUAGAGCUGUUACUGACUGGAUUCCACGGGACGUCAGAAGACCUCGUGGCUGCCCACCAACUAGAUGUUCAGAUUUCUUCGUCAAAUCCCUGAAUGAACAAUUUGAGGUUCUUCCUGUUCCUAAAGCAAGCAGAUAUCAUUGGGCUGCACUAGCAUGCCACAGGGACAAAUGGAGACAUUAUUGGCACCCGCUCGAGCAAAUCGAAGAUCAACCGGACUACAAGUGAUACAAGUGAUAACACUCUGGUUUGAAAAAAUUUCAAGCAAUAUAUAGCGUCUUUAUUCAUGUGCCAGGAAACUUCUUAUUAAGCCUUCCAAUUCCAGGGGGACUUUUGAAUUUUCCAGGUGACCAUCAGAUCACAUAGUCAUAGGCACUUGGGAGUGGAACAAUCUUUUUGGAGAAGAUAGAGAAAGAGGGAGGAAAAAGAGGAGUGAAUGUGUAAAAGGGAAGGACUGAAAGGUGAGAGAGUAAGAUAAAGGAGAAGAAGGAUAUGGGAUAAAAAGAAAAAAGAUGGGAAAAAGCAAAAGUUAAAGACAAAUAGUUAAGGAAAAGAUGUAACAUGGAGAGGCAGAGGCAAAUAUCUAGUGUCUUAAGAUAAAAUAUGAUCCUUUAUAGAUUCCUGCAUCAUCUAAGAAGCUACUUUUUGAGUAAAAUAGUGAUUCUCUGGGAAUUUUGUCUCAUUUAUUGUUCCAACAAAUUACCAGCUUCUGACAUUUUUGUUCUCAAUCAUAUGAAGUUCUGUCCGUUGAAGUUGUUGGAACUGACUUUGCAUUUAGAGUCACAGGCACCUUCACCUGGUAUCCUUUUUACUACACAAAGUGAGUGAAAAAUCUCUGGGCUUGAUCUCAUGGAUCGAAGAGCCAAGUGCUGUACCAGACAGCGAAGGAGGUACAGACAUUAACUACAGUAGUGAUGCCCCCUUCUAUGUCUGUCUGCACAACUCCUGAGGGGCACAUGACCCAGUAAAGUUCUGACCGAGCCAGUCCACUUGAACAGAGAACCACGAAGGGCACAGAACUGGGUAAUGUAUGCUGAGAUGGAAUGCAUUAGUACAGCAGAUAAAAAAUGUGGACCUGCACGGACCUUCGUUUGAAAACAGUCAGUGAAGUAGCAACUUCUGGGCAGAUGGAUCGAACAUUUCUAUGGACCUGCUUUUGGAAAUCACAGAGCUGGACCUGUCUUUCCCACAUUGGGUAGCCUGGAUCCCCUUAGUCACAGGGGACGGGAAUCAUCUAGGGGACAGUCGUAGCCUUCAGUGCAACUGAGUGGCAUUACUGCAGCUAGGUUUCCGGGGUGGAACCGAGUAUCUCCUCUCUGCAAAGGGGACAGAAGGCCAAAUCAGUGUGGGCUCCACUGAUCUGGGUGCACCUCAAGAACCCAGCAGACCUCCCACUGUUGCUACCUGCUGGUCGCUGUCUCUGUUGCUGCUGCAAACACUUACAGAGAUAGAGAUGAACAAAAUCUCUGUGCA